GGAGGGUGCAAGCGUUGUUCGGAAUUACUGGGCGUAAAGCGCGUGUAGGCGGUUUUUUAUGUCGGGUGUGAAAGCCCUGGGCCUAACCCAGGAAGUGCGCUCGAAACUGAAAGACUUGAGUACGAGAGAGGAGGACGGAAUUCCUAGUGUAGAGGUGAAAUUCGUAGAUAUUAGGAAGAACACCGGUGGCGAAGGCGGUUCUCUGGAUCGAUACUGACGCUGAGACGCGAAAGCGUGGGGAGCAAACAGGAUUAGAUACCCUGGGUAGUCCACGCCGUAAACGAUGGAUACUAGUUGUCGGGAGCUUUUUAAACUUUCGGUAACGCCCGCUAACGCAUUAAGUAUCCCGCCUGGGGAGUACGGCCGCAAGGUUA
rnacentral:rRNA from 1 species